CUCUUGCAUUCCCUCUUAUUACCUGUUGAACCACAACCACUUCGAAGUCAUUUUCAAAAGUCCAUAAAUUGUGUAUAACAGUAAAAAUUUGUUUCAUUAUUAAGCGAAAAUAAUAAGGUUCAAAAAAGUUACAAGUUUUAGAACAAAUCUCCUGAACAAUGUCAUUGAAGCACUUGAUAAUCGUUGGGUCUCUCAUGAUUGCUUGCAUGAGCAGUCCACAGAAGAAAAGUUGUUUUAGACCUGAACUGUUUAAGUCUGUUGGCGAGGUAGCGGAUUACGUAAAAUGCCUAAAAUCUAGCACGGGAUCACCACCUUAUGGCAAAAGAUCAGUACGACAGCCAGGCAUGUUGUUGCAAAAACUCUACCCACUCCUGCAGAACUACGAUCCAGAAUACCUGGAACAAUUGUUCUACAGCAUCCUAAAAGCUGAAAGAAAUUUACAAGAUUUCCAUGAAUAAUAACUUAAUUUCAACUGGUUGUGCCGGUUUAUUCGUUAAUUUAGCCCUUAAUAUUAAUAUUAGGACAUAUAAGGCUGGAUGCCCUAAUAUUGAAAUAUAAUAGACUGAAUUAGUUUGCAAAAUACGUUUGUACCUAAAUGUUGUAUUACUUUGUAAUUUUUAAUUAUCGUUCGUUAAUUGAAGACCUGUCAGUAUUAUCAAAUUGUUGUCAUUAAAAGACCUUCGAGAGCAAAUUUAAAAAAA